rnacentral:rRNA from 1 species
ACGUAGGCAGCAAGCGUUGUUCGGAGUUACUGGGCGUAAAGAGUGCGUAGGCGGUCCGGCAAGUUCGGUGUGAAAUCUCCCGGCUUAACUGGGAGGGUGCGCCGAAGACUGUGGGGCUGGAGUGUGGGAGAGGCAAGCGGAAUUCCCGGUGUAGAGGUGAAAUUCGUAGAUAUCGGGAGGAACACCAGUGGCGAAGGCGGCGACCUGGACGGACACUGACGCUGAGACGCGAAAGCGUGGGGAGCAAACAGGA